rnacentral:lncRNA from 1 species
AGUUGGGAAAGGAGCAUACAGAGUGCUGGAAUUGUCUUGGGUGAGACAGACUUUUUCUAUUGGGGUCUGCAUGCAAAAAUCCUGCCAAGUCUCAGUCCUAAACUUAAGUAAUCAGGUUGGUGGAAGGAAAAACUAUGAAGGAGGUAAGGAUUGCUGCCAACAUUCUGCCAUGACUUUUCAACACCCCUUAGCUCUUUUGGCAGAUUCUCUCCAUCCAGGUGUUCAGACCCCCACCCUCCCUUUUCCUGAACUACAGCUUCCAAGGUCACCCACAUUGUAGUAUCAUUAGGUAUGACAAGCUUCAUAUGCCAGACUUUUCUCUCCUAGUUUUUCUGCUUCCCCCAAAUCUGAUUCCUUCUUUGCUUGUGCCCUUGAUCUUUGUUGAAGUUAAUUUGACAACUGAUGGGAGCUGGAGUAUCAAUGAGUGAUAAUGUCUCAGUGUUUCCUUCCUUUCUGAUCACAUCUGUACUCUUCAUCAUGCAGUAAAGCAGGACUUCUGGAACUGGGCAGGAGAGAGGCCUUUCCUUAAUUCCUUCAGAUUGUAGCUUAUUACUUUGCCCAUGAAUGGGGGCCGAAAGGAUAAAAAAAUAUACCUUUCCCUCAUCCAUCACAAAGGCCAUGACUAACACUCCUAUAACAAAAGACAGGUUAGCAAGAGAAACACAU